AGGAUGAACGCUGGCGGCGUGCUUAACACAUGCAAGUCGAACGGUGAAAGAGAGCUUGCUCUCUGGAUCAGUGGCGAACGGGUGAGUAACACGUGAGUAACCUGCCCUUGACUCUGGGAUAAGCGUUGGAAACGACGUCUAAUACCGGAUACGACCUCCGAAGGCAUCUUCUGGAGGUGGAAAGAAUUUCGGUCAAGGAUGGACUCGCGGCCUAUCAGCUAGUUGGUGAGGUAAUGGCCCACCAAGGCGACGACGGGUAGCCGGCCUGAGAGGGUGACCGGCCACACUGGGACUGAGACACGGCCCAGACUCCUACGGGAGGCAGCAGUGGGGAAUAUUGCACAAUGGGCGCAAGCCUGAUGCAGCAACGCCGCGUGAGGGACGACGGCCUUCGGGUUGUAACCUCUUUAGUAGGAAGAAGCGAAAGUGACGGUACCUGCAGAAAAGCACCGGCUAACUACGUGCCAGCAGCCGC
rnacentral:rRNA from 1 species